GCCGUUUAAGCAACUAACUUAGGAGCCGCAAACGAAACAGCGCAAACGCCGUCGCCACGAGAACCAUGUAAAACCGCGUUACGGAUCACAAACAAUAACCCUUUACGUCUGAUUUCGAUAUAAACGUGCCGCCGCCGGUUCACGUUGCGGAGGAAAGACCCAUAAAACGAAAAAGUUGGAAAUUAAGAGUGUCCAGAAGGGGAGAAGAACAGGAUGCUGCAGCAUUAGGUGACACAGAACUGCCCGUGUUGUGGGGAGGAGGGUAGAGCCGGCCCUCCGCGUCACCGGGACAGUAGCUGUGGCCGUCUGCCGCCGUCUGCUUCCUAGACUCCUGCAGGCACCUGCAGUGGAAAAGCGGCUUGUUGCCGGAACACGUCACAUAUUCCCCCGAAGCGCGACAGCAGGGCGGGAAUCAUGAUAACCUGAGUCACUUCCUCUUUAUAGAACAAAUAGGGCAUCAGUGGCCAUUAGUGCCGUUUACGCUUUCCCUUCCUGUGCGAGCAGCGUCGGGCCGCGAUUACAGUAAGUCACGUAACUCUCAGGAGCCUCUCGACUUCUGCCUCCCACAUGACUUCUUUUGCAAACCCACAGUGGAAUUUCUUUUUAGCUAUCAGAUAAAGAGCAGAACUUCUAUCAAAUUGUAUUUUUCCCGACGAUCCUUAAAAACUCGUGCGAUAAGCGAAUGAGUAAUUCAUGUUGCCAAGGAGCAGAGGUGGAAGUUGGGCAAUAGGUCUUCCCACAAAUAACUGCUGACUGUGGCAGUUUGUCCCAAACCAAGAGAAGCCACUCGCUGACCUGCUUUCUCCGGGGUGGGGUCCAUGCUUGGCUGGUCCAACCCAAUUCAGGUUGAGCUGCAGACAGGGCCCUGAUUGGGAGGUAGACUAAACACACAUAUACACCCACUCAAAUGGAGAGAGUGGGCUCUGAGAAUUUUUUUUGCUUAAUUUGGAAUGUCACAACAUUCAUUUACUGACGCUCCCUGUUAUAAUAGUGGUGCAGGCUGCUAGGAAUACAGAUAAAGAUUGUCUUUAAGAUGCAAAUUUGAAUCUGCGAGGCAAAAUGCAGAAAAAAAAUGUGAAAUGGCAAGAGGGAAAUUUUGUUUGCAAAAGGCAGAGCGCAAGAGGUCCAGAUAGCGAAGUAGGAAGAGAAAAUGUCACGGACAAUCGAACAAAAGUUUUUCCGAAAUUUACAAAACCAGAUCUCCAAAACGUGUCAGAUGUUGGAAAUGUCCCCAUGUAGGGUCUAGUUCUUUUAUGCCAUAACCCAAGAGACAUACUGUACACUGUAUCUCUUCUGAUCUUCUUCUGGCAGGAUUUCCCAUUGUAGUUCAGCGUGCUGUGGCAAUUUUUAAAAUCUCAUGUAUAAAAAGCUUUGGCAGACCGUACUGUUUGUAAACAAAUGUCAAGCAGUAUGGGCUUUCCAGCUCAGCUGAGAGGAGCCUGGGUAUAAGAGCAAGGACAGGGGCAGAUGUCCUGGGGUGGCACUGAGGAGGGAUGUGUUUUAUAUUAAAGCCCCCACACACAGACCCCGCAGUGCAGAGUCGGAUGAAUGAACGGGGCUCUGUUACGCCGUGGCCAGCUGUGGGCCCACACAGACACUGAGCCAUUACCGGUACCAGUGGUGACCCGCGUGGAUGGAGGUGAUCACGGCCACUUUGCAUCACUGAGGCCCUAGCUGCAUUUUGAGCACGCUUUUCUGGGGACCUGCGGGAAGUGUAAGGUGUGUGAGGUCACUCUAAGUGGGGCAGGAAGUGUGUGUGUGUGGGGGGGGUUGGGGGCUGCGAGACAAGCUAAACGUCUCCUCGUUUAAUCAUCUGCCCAGCCAGCGGUAAUUCGAAGACAAACCAAGGAAAGACAAGCAAUGACAGAGUUUAAAUAUUACCUUUGGGGAAAUGUUAGAACAAGCUCUCAACAAACCUGGAAGGCACUGCAUCUUGGGAAAAAGAUUCCUAUUACUCAUUUACAUAUAACUUCAAAUUAUUAAUACUGUGACUAAUGCCAAAUACAGUUGUUUAAAAUGUUUUAAUCAGUCCGCUGCCACUUGUUAAUGCAAUUCCAUUAGUAUACAGUUAUUUUUCAAAUAUUAUAUAUUAUAACAUUAAAUAAUAUAAAAAAUAUUUUUAAAUUACAAAACUUCACAGAAUGUGGUCUUUCCCACACAUAGACAUUAAUCGUAGAUGUAUGUUAGUGUGGAGGUUUAAAAGAAAAACGUUUGGGCAGAACCUCAAGUUCUGUUUAAUGCAUCAAUAUCUAUAGUUGAUGUAGAGCACAUGACACGGACUGGAACAGUAAACACAUUGAUGGAAAACUGAAGUCCAAGAGUUCACUCUGCUGCAUGGCCGUCCCCAGCUCUGCUCUGCCUGUGAACCAUCCCAUGCAAGGAGGCUUCAGGCCAAAUCCUGAGUGAAUGUUUUACUUUUAAAUCAAAAGAAGAUGCUUACAUGUGCGGCAUAUCCAGCAGAAUGUUUAUUUUUCAUCACGCAAUUAGUAACUACGUUGAACAAGUCUUUAUAUCAGCCUUAAAGAAGCUCUUAAUCCACUACAAAAAUCCAUUUUUCCCCCCUUACUCUUCUUAGUGUUCAUAUUUUCUCCAUGCUCAAAACCAGGCUACGAUUCGACAAUGGUGUCACUGUGAGCGGUCCCCUGUCUCGAUGGCCGGUCGGUUGAAGUGAAAAAAGAAAGAAGGGACGUGAUUUACGGCAUGUCACGGCAGGAAACUAGGAGCAGAGGCAUCGCACUUGCUAACCAUUGCACAACGCUACUGGUUCGGUUACACAACCGAGCAGAGACGGACAAGUCCUACCAUGAGUCGGCGGGACACUGGCACGGGAGCCCGUGUCAUAGCCUGUUCUGAGCCCGCAGGCUGCUGUUUGUUCUUUUCCAGUCCCGUAAGAAACACUGUUGCAGAAAAUACAGCCCCUCAUGGAUCUGUGCUGAACGUGAAUCGAGGCUGAAAGCAGUGGGGGGUCAAAGGAGCAAAUGCAGACAGAUCACCUCAGCAUUUCAAUUAUGUCACUUCCACAGACUAAGUAUGGUGCCUGUGAGCUGAAGGCAUUCAUACAGUGACAAGUACAGAUACUGCUCCUCAAUACAGUGUUUUUGCUUCCACAGCAGCAGGAUGAGCUAGCCGGGGAACUCCAUGUUUAUAAAUAACUAGCCACACUUUGGAAAUGACAAAAAAAAUUGUACUCAUCUAUCACAUAUAGAUGAGUAGGAAGACAGUAGAAGCCACAAUAGAGCUUUAGAGGUUUGUGUGUGUGGGAGGAGCCAUUGGUGUAGUGGGGGAGGGGGGAGUCCCUCAUGGGUCAAAGCUUGGCCCCAUAGGUUCCUGUCUGGCAUUGGCCCACACUUUGCAGGGUCACAUGAUGCCAUCGGGCUGUUAUGUAACCUGCUGAGAUCCUGACACCGAAUGACUAUGAUGUCCUGUUGUGCUUUUUCACAUGCUGGGUACCAGCAGUUAAGGAGCUGAAGGAGGACUUUACUGUAAUAUCCCUGAGCAAGGAACUUAACCAGAAUUACUUAAAUAAAAUAACUUGGUAAAUUGUU